rnacentral:rRNA from 1 species
UACAUGGGGUGCAAACGUUGCUCGGAAUUAUUGGGCGUAAAGCGCACGUAGGCGGUCAUUUAAGUCGGACGUGAAAGCCCUCGGCUUAACCGGGGAAGUGCAUCCGAAACUGAAUGGCUAGAGUACAGAAGAGGGUCGCGGAAUUCCCGGUGUAGAGGUGAAAUUCGUAGAUAUCGGGAGGAACACCGGUGGCGAAGGCGGCAACCUGGGCUGAUACUGACGCUGAGGUGCGAAAGCGUGGGGAGCAAACAGG